rnacentral:sRNA from 12 species
CACCACUUGGUGAAGAUUUUGUCAUAGGGAUAUGGGCUAGUAGGCAGUUGCUCGAAAACCCGUAAGACAAACAAGGAA